rnacentral:rRNA from 1 species
CAAGUCUACUUGAAUUUGGGUUUUUAACUUCGAUUUGGGUGGCGGACGGGUGAGUAACGCGUAAAGAACUUGCCUCACAGCUAGGGACAACAUUUGGAAACGAAUGCUAAUACCCGAUAUUAUGAUUAUAGGGCAUCCUAGAAUUAUGAAAGCUAUAUGCGCUGUGAGAGAGCUUUGCGUCCCAUUAGCUAGUUGGAGAGGUAACGGCUCACCAAGGCGAUGAUGGGUAGCCGGCCUGAGAGGGUGAACGGCCACAAGGGGACUGAGACACGGCCCUUACUCCUACGGGAGGCAGCAGUGGGGAAUAUUGGACAAUGGACCGAGAGUCUGAUCCAGCAAUUCUGUGUGCACGAUGACGUUUUUCGGAAUGUAAAGUGCUUUCAGUUGGGAAGAAAAAAAUGACGGUACCAACAGAAGAAGUGACGGCUAAAUACGUGCCAGCAGCCGCGGUAAUACGUAUGUCACGAGCGUUAUCCGGAUUUAUUGGGCGUAAAGCGCGUCUAGGUGGUUAUGUAAGUCUGAUGUGAAAAUGCAGGGCUCAACUCUGUAUUGCGUUGGAAACUGUGUAACUAGAGUACUGGAGAGGUAAGCGGAACUACAAGUGUAGAGGUGAAAUUCGUAGAUAUUUGUAGGAAUGCCGAUGGGGAAGCCAGCUUACUGGACAGAUACUGACGCUGAAGCGCGAAAGCGUGGGUAGCAAACAGGAUUAGAUACCCUGGUAGUCCACGCCGUAAACGAUGAUUACUAGGUGUUGGGGGGUCGAACCUCAGCGCCCAAGCAAACG